rnacentral:rRNA from 1 species
UACGUAGGUGGCAAGCGUUGUCCGGAUUUAUUGGGUUUAAAGGGUGCGUAGGCGGUUCUAUAAGUCAGUGGUGAAAUCCGGCAGCUCAACUGUCGAUGCGCCAUUGAUACUGCAGAACUUGAGUACAGACGAGGUAGGCGGAAUUGACGGUGUAGCGGUGAAAUGCUUAGAUAUCGUCAAGAACACCGAUAGCGAAGGCAGCUUACUAGACUGUAACUGACGCUGAUGCACGAAAGUGUGGGGAUCAAACAGG